rnacentral:rRNA from 1 species
CCUACGGGUGGCAGCAGUGGGGAAUAUUGGACAAUGGGCGAAAGCCUGAUCCAGCCAUGCCGCGUGUGUGAAGAAGGCCUUCGGGUUGUAAAGCACUUUCAGUGGGGAAGAAAGCCUUGGGGCUAAUACCCUCGAGGAAGGACAUCACCCACAGAAGAAGCACCGGCUAACUCCGUGCCAGCAGCCGCGGUAAUACGGAGGGUGCGAGCGUUAAUCGGAAUUACUGGGCGUAAAGCGCGCGUAGGCGGUCUGAUAAGCCGGUUGUGAAAGCCCCGGGCUCAACCUGGGAACGGCAUCCGGAACUGUCAGGCUAGAGUGCAGGAGAGGAAAGUAGAAUUCCCGGUGUAGCGGUGAAAUGCGUAGAGAUCGGGAGGAAUACCAGUGGCGAAGGCGGCCUUCUGGACUGACACUGACGCUGAGGUGCGAAAGCGUGGGUAGCAAACAGGAUUAGAUACCCGAGUAGUC